rnacentral:rRNA from 1 species
CCUACGGCGGCUGCAGUGGGGAAUAUUGGACAAUGGGCGAAAGCCUGAUCCAGCCAUGCCGCGUGUGUGAAGAAGGCCUUCGGGUUGUAAAGCACUUUCAGUGGGGAAGAAAGCCUUGGGGCUAAUACCCUCGAGGAAGGACAUCACCCACAGAAGAAGCACCGGCUAACUCCGUGCCAGCAGCCGCGGUAAUACGGAGGGUGCGAGCGUUAAUCGGAAUUACUGGGCGUAAAGCGCGCGUAGGCGGUCUGAUAAGCCGGUUGUGAAAGCCCCGGGCUCAACCUGGGAACGGCAUCCGGAACGGUCAGGCUAGAGUGCAGGAGAGGAAGGUAGAAUUCCCGGUGUAGCGGUGAAAUGCGUAGAGAUCGGGAGGAAUACCAGUGGCGAAGGCGGCCUUCUGGACUGACACUGACGCUGAGGUGCGAAAGCGUGGGUAGCAAACAGGAUUAGAUACCCUAGUAGUC